CUCAGUGCUUAUGUUAAGGAGCUCAGGCAGGAUUUUCCUGGAGGCCUCUAGCCUAUCUCCAUAUUGGACCAGUGCACGAUCAUGAAGAUUCAUUGGUUGCUGGCAUGUCAAGUGGCUUAAUGGUAUAUCAUAUUAGGGAGAAUGGAAGCUAGCAGACAACAGCUAGAAGGUAUAUGCGAAGCGAGACCAUUGCUUGGAGACGGUCAGAAGAUGCCAACAGAGAUUGAGGGGAAACAAAGAUGGAAAGAUCAGGGUAAGGUGUCAUUGACCAGAUGCUUUGGACUUUGAAAAGAACGUUUAUGAUAUCAACGAUAACCAUAUUUAACAGCCGCUAACUACCGGCCAAGCCCCCUGCUCUGUAACAAUCUAAAACAUUGUCUAGAUCAUAUGAUUAUAUGUCCAACUUGCGAUGGCUAAUGUCCCCUGGAUUCACAAACAACCCAAAACCGGGAUUUAGGGAGCUCUGGAUACAGCAGGACUUAAAAAUGCUUGCCUAUUUUACGAAAUGCCUAUAUAAAAUUUUUCCUUUCCC